rnacentral:tRNA from 1 species
GGGCCUGUAGCUCAACUGGGAGAGCGCCUGCUUUGCAAGCAGGGGGUCAGCGGUUCGAUCCCGCUCAGGUCCA